AUCCAGCGUGGGAUACUAUAAUAUCCCACGGCAGAUCCACCGUGGGAUAUUAUAGUAUCCCACGCGCAC
rnacentral:miRNA from 1 species